rnacentral:pre_miRNA from 1 species
CUAAGUACUAGCGCCGCAGGAGUCUUAUUCAAUACCUCCUGCAGCCUUAGUGCUUACCA